rnacentral:tRNA from 1 species
GGGGAUUUUUUCUGUCGCUGCUAACGAUGGUUUGAAUAUUGGUUUUAUUCGGUCCUCU